rnacentral:rRNA from 1 species
UACGGGGGGGGCAAGCGUUACUCAUCAUCAUUGGGCGUAAAGGGUACGUAGGCGGCUAUUCGUAGUUAUAAAUUAAAUCCAAGAGCUUAACUUUUGAAAAAUUUAUAAAACAGUUUAGCUUGAGUAUUAAAGAGGAUAGUAGUAUUUUUAGUGUAAAGGUGAAAUUUUUGAAAAUUAAAAAGACUAACAAAUGGCGAAAGCAACUAUCUGGUUAAUUACUGACGCUGAGGUACAAAAGCAAAGGGAGCAAACAGG